rnacentral:rRNA from 1 species
AUUGAACGCUGGCGGCAGGCCUAACACAUGCAAGUCGAACGAGUGGCGGACGGGUGAGUAAUGUCUGGGAACCUGCCCGGUGGCGGGGGAUAACUACUGGAAAGAGUCGCUAAUACCGCAUACCAUCGGAUGUGCCCAGAUAGGAUUAGCUAGUGGGUGGGGUAACGGCUCACCUAGGCGACGAUCCCUAGCUGGUCUGAGAGGAUGACCAGCCACACGGGAACUGAGACACGGUCCAGACUCCUACGGGAGGCAGCAGUGGGGAAUAUUGCACAAUGGGGGCAAGCCUGAUGCAGCCAGGCCGCGUGUAUGAAGAAGGCCUUCGGGUUGUAAAGUACUUUAAGCGAGGAGGCGUUAUUUGCAGAAGAAGCACCGGCUAACUCCGUUCCAGCAGCCGCGGUAAUAC